rnacentral:rRNA from 1 species
UACAUAGCUUAAUGAGGGGAACUCAGGGAACUGAAACAUCUAAGUACCUGAAGGAAGAGAAAGAAAUUCGAUUCCGUAAGUAGCGGCGAGCGAACGCGGAUUAGCCCAAACCAAUAAAGUUUUCUUUAUUGGGGUUGCGGACAUAUCAUAACGAAGAGGUAUCGUAAUUGAAGAGGUUUGGAAAGACCCACCACAGAAGGUAAUAGUCCUGUAUGUUAAACGAGAAGACUUUAGAUAUGAUCCAGAGUACCACGGGACACGUGAAACCCUGUGGGAAGCAGGAGGGACCACCCUCCAAGGCUAAAUACUACCUAGUGACCGAUAGCGUAUAGUACCGUGAGGGAAAGGGGAAAAGAACCCCGGGAGGGGAGUGAAAUAGAACCUGAAACCCUGCACUUACAAGCUGUGGAAGCACAGUUCUUGUGUGACCGCGUACUUUUUGUAGAACGGGCCAACGAGUUACGUUAAGUAGCAAGGUUAAGCACUUAAGGUGCGGAGCCGUAGCGAAAGCGAGUUUUAACUGAGCGUUCAGUUACUUGACGUAGACCCGAAACCGGGCGACCUACCCAUGAGCAGGAUGAAGCGAAAGUAAAA